AGCAGCCGCGGUAAUUCCAGCUCCAAUAGCGUAUAUUAAAGUUGUUGCAGUUAAAAGCUCGUAGUUGAACUUCGGGGUUUACUCAUUGGUCAGGCUUAAUUGUCUGUACUGGUGAGAUGAAUCUCUACCUUCUGAGGAACUUUCAUGCCAUUUAUUUGGUGUGAUUGGAAAUCAGGACUGUUACUUUGAAAAAUUAGAGUGUUUAAAGCAGGCUAACGUCUGAAUACAUUAGCAUGGAAUAAUGAAAUAGGACGGAUUGAUUCUAUUUCGUUGGUUUCUAGGGCCACCGUAAUGAUUAAUAGGGAUAGUUGGGGGCAUUAGUAUUCAAUUGUCAGAGGUGAAAUUCUUGGAUUUAUUGAAGACUAACUACUGCGAAG
rnacentral:misc_RNA from 1 species